UAUCCUGUCUGAAUAUGGGGGGACCAUCCUCCAAGGCUAAAUACUCCUGACUGACCGAUAGUGAACCAGUACCGUGAGGGAAAGGCGAAAAGAACCCCGGCGAGGGGAGUGAAAAAGAACCUGAAACCGUGUACGUACAAGCAGUGGGAGCACCCUUUGGGUGUGACUGCGUACCUUUUGUAUAAUGGGUCAGCGACUUAUAUUCUGUAGCAAGGUUAACCGAAUAGGGGAGCCGGAGGGAAACCGAGUCUUAACCGGGCGUUAAGUUGCAGGGUAUAGACCCGAAACCCGGUGAUCUAGCCAUGGGCAGGUUGAAGGUUGGGUAACACUAACUGGAGGACCGAACCGACUAAUGUUGAAAAAUUAGCGGAUGACCUGUGGCUGGGGGUGAAAGGCCAAUCAAACCGGGAGAUAGCUGGUUCUCCCCGAAAGCUAUUUAGGUAGCGCCUCGUGAAUUCAUCUCCGGGGGUAGAGCACUGUUUCGGCUAGGGGGCCAUCCCGGCUUACCAACCCGAUGCAAACUGCGAAUACCGGAGAAUGUUAUCACGGGAGACACACGGCGGGUGCUAACGUCCGUCGUGAAGAGGGAAACAACCCAGACCGCCAGCUAAGGUCCCAAAGUCAUGGUUAAGUGGGAAACGAUGUGGGAAGGCCCAGACAGCCAGGAUGUUGGCUUAGAAGCAGCCAUCAUUUAAAGAAAGCGUAAUAGCUCACUGGUCGAGUCGGCCUGCGCGGAAGAUGUAACGGGGCUAAACCAUGCACCGAAGCUGCGGCAGCGACACUGUGUGUUGUUGGGUA
rnacentral:rRNA from 1 species